AGUGAACGCUGGCGGUAGGCCUAACACAUGCAAGUCGAACGGCAGCACAGUAAGAGCUUGCGCUUACGGGUGGCGAGUGGCGGACGGGUGAGGAAUACAUCGGAAUCUACUUUUUCGUGGGGGAUAACGUAGGGAAACUUACGCUAAUACCGCAUACGACCUACGGGUGAAAGCAGGGGAUCUUCGGACCUUGCGCGAUUGAAUGAGCCGAUGUCGGAUUAGCUAGUUGGCGGGGUAAAGGCCCACCAAGCCGACGAUCCGUAGCUGGUCUGAGAGGAUGAUCAGCCACACUGGAACUGAGGCACGGUCCAGACUCCUACGGGAGGCAGCAGUGGGGAAUAUUGGACAAAGGGCGCAAGCCUGAUCCAGCCAUACCGCGUGGGUGAAGAAGGCCUUCGGGUUGUAGAGCCCUUUUGUUGGGAAAGAAAAGCAGCAGGUUAAUACCCCGCUGUUCUGACGGUACCCAAAGAAUAAGCACCGGCUAACUUCGUG
rnacentral:rRNA from 1 species